rnacentral:siRNA from 1 species
CAACAUUGCCAAAUUAAUUUGGGA